UGGACCGGCAGUGCUGAGUGAAUGCAGUGUUAUUGUUUUUGCGCUGAAAACAGGGAAUGGGCCUAACCUAGGAUGCCCCCAGGGGCAUUUGACGGGGAUCUGGUCAUUUCGUAACCUUACCAUUUCGUAACUGCUGAAUCUUGGUUAUUUUGUAACCAUUUUGUUAGUCAAUUCGUAACCAUCAAUAAAUCAAUUGCUCAUAUGGUAACCACCAUUUAACAAGGUGAUAAAUAGUACACUUAGCACCUCGUUAAGUGUAUUGUUCGAACCUGGAUGUAUAUGGCACAGCAACCAAGACACCAAUAAUUUAUGUUACUCAAUAGUUAUUAGAUAUAUAUCAUGGUAAAUUAGAAAUGAUUUGUUAUACUACCAAAAUAUGUUAAUUAUUUUCUUACAUUUUGCUUACUUAUAAACAAUAAUUUAAGACUGAUCGCGAUGUAUUUUUGAGUAAAAUUACGUUUACAUAAAUGAUCAUUCUUGACCUAUUUCAUUGACUAUAUUUGUUUGAAUUGUUUAAAACGAAAAAAAAAAUUGUUCUGUUCUUUUCUCAAUUGAUCCAUAUUCUGCAUACUUUAUAUCCGAAACCGACAAAAAAACAGCCUAAAAUUAUUAGUUAUGGUACAGUGGAAACUCACUAAACCGGAUCUCCACAAAACCGGAAUCCUCGGGAUACUGGAAUUUUAUCAGAGUCCCGGUUUUCCCCUUCUAUUUUCAAUGUAAAAAAAUCCCUACAAAACCUGAACCCCGGAAUUCCGGAUACCGGACAAAAAAUCGAGAAAAUUUGUUAGUUGUCAACGUAAUUUUACCUUACAAAACCAGACGUUUUGUUCAAACAUGUCAAAAUAAUUCUGUGUAUUAGGAAUUCGCGAAUCACGUGUCAUUUUGUUUUGACAGCCGGUACGUCGUUAAAUAUUACACCUGUGAUGUUGUGUUAACACGAUAAUCGAUAAUGAUGAUUGCGCUGUGGAUUGACUGUCACGCGAUAAUCAAACGAUAAUCAAACUUGUGAAAAGAAAAUUGAUUAAAACAUUUAUUUGUUUGUUGCAGAAAAUAAAGAACUAGAAACGGUUUUUUUAGUGAUCAUUUUGAAGUGUUGUUUUUAUCUAAAGACUUCUAUGAUUGAAUCAAAUUAGAGCGGUGCUUUAAUUAAACUAUCAAACAUACUAAACAAGCAUUAAAUUACGAGAGUUGUUUUAUUUCAAGACUUGGAAAAAAGAUGGUUAUAAAAACGCAGAAAUGUUUAAUUAUGCUUAUCACUUUUGCAAGUGCUUUAAUCAUGUCUCAACCACCGUCUAAACGUCGGAGAAUUGAACUGGAUAACUUAACAAGUGAAGUAAACUGUACUGAGCUUUUGAACAAACCUACAUACUUAUAAAUCAAAAUUGAUAUUUUAGGGUCUACACUGAAUAAACCCAAAAUGUUAGUUUUGAUUUGCUAAAUUCGAACAGUAUUUAGUCUAUCCACACAAAAUUUACAGGAUCAUCAGAUAACAAAUUUUCUAAAAAUUCUCUGUUUGCCAAAUAGGGAAGACAGGUUAAAGUGGGGUUAAAAGGUUGCUAUCUGUGACCAAAAAAAUACUGUUCAAAAUUGUGAGUAUUCAUUUAUCUUUCAUUCAGUAAAGAGCAUGCAAUGGCAUAGUGGUUGGAUUAGAUAAUCUGACAGCGGUGCUGGACGUCAGGAGUUCAAAUAUUGUUGUGAGUUCAAUGUUCCAAAAGAAUACCUUUGGAAUACACAAUUAUCUAUAAAAAUGGCAGAGCAAAUUGCCCAUAUUGUAGUAAUGUCUUAGAUCCAGCUUGGAUAACUUGGACACAGUAAGCGGUUCACACCAAGGGAAAUUCUCAGAUUAAACAGCGCUUAUGAACUUGAACAUUACAUUUUUCAUUGAGACAAAGAAAAAACAUUAUUGCUGAUCUUCUGAAAACAAAUCUUGGAUUUAUACUAAUCACCACCAAAAAUUUAAUUUUAAUCACACAAUGUAAACAACUGCGCCACAGAUCUAUCUUAUCUGUAUGUUUAGAGUUUUUAAAAUUUAGCAGUUAAAUAUAGAUUAGCAUACUGGUAGGUCUGGUUGGUCUGUUGCUUUAGACGCUAAGUAAACAUAAUGUCAGUGAUUUCAUCACUAUUUCUAUUAAAAUAUCAGUUUUCUUCUUCAGAGCUUCUCACAUUUGCACCAUUUUUUACCAUUUGAAUCAUAAAAAGAUAACAAACAAACACGGAUGGAACAUUUGAAAAUACAAUUCAGUUGGUUUCUAUUUUCAUGCUCAUUUUUGCUUAAAAUUAUUCUGCUUGAAUGUGAUUUAUGUUGCUUAAUAAAUUUGAACUUAACUCUUUGUGAAUAUUUAAGGAAUGUAAGGGGUCAGAUUUCAGAUUGCUCAUUAUUUCUGGAACACUAAAUACUUUAUUUGAUUGUGUACACUGCACUUUCUUGUUAAGCAUUCAUCCAAAUCAUUUGGGUAAAUAUUGGCAGAAAAACUGCUUUUAGAUUUAUACUGGUCAUCAAAACCGGCACUGACAAAACAUAAGAUGUGUUUAAUUAAUGUGCGGGAAAGAGGUUUAAAGGUGUCCGCCCACAACGAAAUGCUUGCGGGUCACAGUACCCCUUCAAGUAGUUCUUGAAAAAAAAUGAUUCUCUCAGGUAGCGUUUGAUUAUUUGUACAUUGUAUCCUUGUAUAUAUUCUCAAGUGUACACAUGAUUUAUAUAAGGUUUGUACAAUUUUAGUUUUAUUUAAAUUUUAAAAUUUUGACAUUUUUUUUAAGAUUUGCCUGCCCCUGUCUAAACACUUAAAUUCUUGGUCUUUGGACUAUUGUCUGCAACUUCAAAACACACUUUUUGGAACAGGACACAUUUUUCUGAUAUUUUAUCCAGUUUGACUGCAAUAUAAGUUGUAUUUAUCAAUCAAGUAAAAAAUGACAUUUAUUUUUCCAUAAUUACCUGGUAGUUAUUUGUUAAUUUGUUUUAAUUCAUGGAUAGGUUUAUUGCAGUGUCAUGGAAAGCUGGAACUUUUCAGUACACAACAUGCAAACAGAGAAUGAACUGUGUGUGCCGGCUUUGUGAACAAAAACGCAAGGCGGCUAUGUUGCUGCUUGGGACAUUAAAGUUAAGUCAGCAACCGUCUACCAGACUGCAAGAUUCAUCUCUUCCAAAGGAUGUCGUACCUUUCCAGAUACACUGUGUUUUGUGUGGAUAAGAAAUGCAGAGUGGUACCACCAAUCACCUAAGCCACCAUUCCCCUAACAGACAAUAGGCUCAAGGGGACAGUUCCUGCAAUUUACAGAAAAGCUCUCAAUUGUAGCCCUACGAACUUAAGAUACUGCUGAUGGUGAAGCUUGGAUGCACCGGGCCGGUUUUCCAGCCGUGUGGAAUCUCCAGCUGAACUGGGGCCGGGAAUUAUAUUUAUAAGACUCCUUAGCAGCAUGAGUGCCAGCCAGUCAUUGCUGUUCUUGCAUUGCUGAGGAGGACAGUCCUGCCAACAUAACAGUUUGUUCAAUAACAGGAGACAAACAGAAACACAGAGGUGCUAUACAUUCUGAUGGAAAAACAAAAGCAUCUCCCAUCAUUUUGGCGUGGCUCAGAUCAAGAGGAGAAUUUUAAGAAAGGUGAUGGUUGGGCACACACAAGAAGACAUAGAUCACAGGUGUCUAGCCAUAUGAGUAGAUAGGAGUGUCACACUCUGCCAAACUUACUUCAGAUAGGAGUGUCACACUCUGCCAAACUUACUUCAUCAGACGAGCAGAAAGCUUCUCAAGAUCCCGCACUGCACACUAAGACAUAGUCUUUGACUACAACAAGGUGAUGAAAGUACAGAGGUCCAAUUGAAAUCAAUUCUGUGCUGCUGUCAUUUCUUCAUUCUGGAAGUCGAUGGACAUGAUUUAUUAUGGCAUCAAGUGUGUAGUUUGCCGACUAUCAGCAGUCUUGUUCACCAGCUGUGCAACUUGAGCUGGUAGCUUUAUUGCUUGAAGCCACUGCAUAAGAGGGGGAAGGUGCAGGCUCAUCAAAAAGUCUCAAAAGUUGAAACUAGGAAAAGAAGUUUAUCAAGAGUGUGAAUCUAUUUUGAAAACAAUCGUUACAAUGAUUUGGUUUCCUUUGAAACUUCAUACAUACUAUGAAUUGAGAUACUUAAAUAAAAAACCGCUAUUCAAAUAUCAGGAAACUGCCUUUUUCAUACUAAAGGGUAAAUGAUGUCGCCAUUUUCUGUAUGUAUUUAAAUAAGAUAUGUCUCCACAAUUAAUAUUUUUAGGGAAUUUUUCUCAACUGAAUGAGAUUAAAUUGUACAGCGUUAUAUGAGCUUAAUAUGUUUUCUCAUUCUUUAAAAUUGGUGAAAAAUUGUCAGAAGAUCAUUAGACCAGUAUCCAUUACUGCAAUCAUACAAUCAAAUAUACAGGGACAAGCCCACUGGGCAUAUAAUUAAACCCUGUUUAGGGGCACGAGGCAAACAGAGUUACUUUCAAACGUUAAAGCUGCACUCUCACACUUUGGAUGUUUUGACAACUUUUUUCAUUUUAUGUCUCGGAUUGGAACCAUCCAAUUUUUGCGAAAAAUUAAAUCCCAGAUUUUUCUAUUUAAGUUAAAACAUUGAUAUUUUUUAUGCACUUUUCUUAAACCGUUAGUAACAUUAAUUUUCGAACGGAAAUAUGAAAUCUGCGAUCUGAUCUUUUGUCAGCAAUCUUUUAUCAUUGGUUUGCAGAUAAUUACGCAAAAACUUGCUCAUUCGAAGACAAAAAAAUUUGUGGAAACGGUAUAUCUGUGAGAGUGCAGCUCUAAAUGUUUAAUUUCUUGAUUUUACUACUGUAUUAGAAAUUACAGGGAUUGGGGUAUAUUUUUAGUGUUUUUAUUGCUUGUUUUUGAUUCAUACAGUCAUACUUUAUUCUUCAGGGCACAACUUACAAAUAGACAAAACUGGAAAAUGGUCAUAUCAAAAGGUCAAAGAUAAUGCAAGUUGAACAAUCAUAUUGUUCAUGGCUUGUAUUUUUGGUAUAUUUUGUUGCAUAUGCUAUAGAAAAGUUGAAAGUUAAAAAUAAAUUCAUAGUUGAAAUGAUGGCUUUGAAUGAUAUUGUCAGAUGAGAAACGGCACUAUUAAGAAUUAGGUAUAAUGGUACUUUAUUUAUUUUAAUCAAUUUUAGAUAUUAUGAAAAUUAUUAUCUUAUUUAGUACAUGAGACCUUUUAAACAGUUAUUGACAAUAUAACAAUGUGUAUAUGAAGCUUUAGAUCAAAACUUAAAGCUGCACUCUUACAGAUUGUCAGUUUAGACACAAAAUUGUCUCAAAAUCGGCUGAUUUGGUUAUCAUUCCUUUAAUUCAGUCAUAUUAGAUAAUUCACAAUAGAACCAAUCAAAAAUGUUUGGUAAAACUGCCGAAAAAGUAAUUUACAUUAAAUUGUUUGUAAUGCUUUUAGUCAUUGUUCGUAAUGCUUUUAGUCAUAAAACAUCAUUUUUUUAACAUAAAUAUGAUGAACUGCAAUCUGAUCUUUUUUCAGCAGUCUUAUAUCACUUAAAAUUGGGUCUAGACAUUUCUGCAAAAAAUACUCCAUUUAUUGACAAACAAUAAAAGAGUACCGGUAGUCAAAACGAUCAAUCGGUGAGAUUGCAGCUUUAAAUACACCUUUUAAGACCGCCGUAAAAUUCCAAUGGUUUGCCUAAAUCUUUAAAGCUAGCAUACUGUUUAAUUGACAACCAUACUUAUUGUUUAAAAUAUGUCAUGAUAUCUUUGUACAAUGUGUUUAUAUAAUUCAUUAAAGAAGUCAAAACAAA